GCCUCGAUGAUGAAAUUGGUAGACAUAGCAGACUUAAAAUCUGCAGCCUAAGGGCGUGCCGGUUCGAUUCCGGCUCGAGGCACCA
rnacentral:tRNA from 1 species